rnacentral:rRNA from 1 species
AGUUUGGGAUCUGGCUCAGGAUGAACGCUGGCGGCGUGCGUAAUACAUGCAAGUCGAGCGAAUGAAGAGGAGCUUGCUCCUCUGAUUUAGCGGCGGACGGGUGAGUAACACGUGGGUAAUCUGCCUGUAAGACGGGGAUAACUCCGGGAAACCGGGGCUAAUACCGGAUAAUAAGAAGAAACGCAUGUUUCUUUUUUGAAAGUCGGUUUCGGCUGACACUUACAGAUGAGCCCGCGGCGCAUUAGCUAGUUGGUGAGGUAACGGCUCACCAAGGCGACGAUGCGUAGCCGACCUGAGAGGGUGAUCGGCCACACUGGGACUGAGACACGGCCCAGACUCCUACGGGAGGCAGCAGUAGGGAAUCUUCGGCAAUGGGCGAAAGCCUGACCGAGCAACGCCGCGUGAGCGAUGAAGGCCUUCGGGUCGUAAAGCUCUGUUGUUAGAGAAGAACAAGUACGAGAGUAACUGCUCGUACCUUGACGGUACCUAACCAGAAAGCCACGGCUAACUACGUGCCAGCAGCCGCGGUAAUACGUAGGUGGCAAGCGUUAUCCGGAAUUAUUGGGCGUAAAGCGCGCGCAGGCGGUCUCUUAAGUCUGAUGUGAAAGCCCACGGCUCAACCGUGGAGGGUCAUUGGAAACUGGGAGACUUGAGUGCAGGAGAGAAAAGUGGAAUUCCACGUGUAGCGGUGAAAUGCGUAGAGAUGUGGAGGAACACCAGUGGCGAAGGCGGCUUUUUGGCCUGUAACUGACGCUGAGGCGCGAAAGCGUGGGGAGCAAACAGGAUUAGAUACCCUGGUAGUCCACGCCGUAAACGAUGAGUGCUAGGUGUUGGGGGGUUCCACCCUCAGUGCUGAAGUUAACACAUUAAGCACUCCGCCUGGGGAGUACGACCGCAAGGUUGAAACUCAAAGGAAUUGACGGGGGCCCGCACAAGCAGUGGAGCAUGUGGUUUAAUUCGAAGCAACGCGAAGAACCUUACCAGGUCUUGACAUCCUUUGACCACUCUAGAGAUAGAGCUUUCCCCUUCGGGGGACAAAGUGACAGGUGGUGCAUGGUGUCGUCAG